GCCAGCGGCGACAGUAUGUUGAAAACACCAGUUGCCAACGGAUCACUGAAGUUAAGUGACGUUGCGCGUGGUUAGUAUCCGGGUGGGUGACCAUCUGGGCAACCGCUUGACAAAUGUCU
rfam:Asian citrus Psyllid, Diaphorina citri - Florida Strain, whole genome shotgun sequence.